rnacentral:lncRNA from 1 species
CCAUUAAACACUCUUCCGUCUCAUUUGCUGAGGCAAGGUCUGACAGACCAAUCAGAGCUUCCCAUAAGGCUCAUCUCUCUAGGCGGCUUGCUCUGAUGAAUCCCGUCUCUGCCUUUUGAGGCUGGGAGUAGCUGUGGGCUACAACAUCCAGCCAGCAUUUCCUGGAUUCUGGGAAUCUGAACUCUGGGCCUCAUCGUACAUAACAAACGCCUUAACGGCUCAUUCAUCUCUUUGGCUUCAACGGCCAGCCAAGUCAGUUUUCUCAUCUUACCGAAAUAUCUGCAUGCUGAUCGCUCUGGAGCAUUUAUUAAAAAAUUCAGAGCCCCGAGUCUCUGGAGAGAGAGCCAAGGAAACUACAUUGUAAACAAACGAGUGAGUUUGAAGCCCAUAGUGCUAAGGUGGUACAUGGCUCAGACUUCUUUAGGACAUGCGCUCCUGGAUCAGGAGGUGUAAGCUAACUGAGUCAGCACAGGACUUUUGUCCUAGAAGAUGAUGAAAUGCUUUCCCGACUGAGUACAAAACUGGGACUGCAGCCACUUGGCCUGCUUUGAAAAGGGAAUACCAGGGAAGUAUAUUCAUUUCAUCCUUUCUAAACAACGGAUCCAGGAGACAGGUCUUAGAGUGGGAGACUGGAGUCACAGCCUGAGAAGUUGACCGUGGGAAGCAGGUGUUGCAUGUAGAGUGGCCCUACAGAUGUGUCAAGAACGGGGACCAACUUGAUCUCGCUCACCACAUGAUCAUGUCUCUUGAUUGUGACCAAACGUUCCUUUGUGUGGGGACUGUCAAAUCCCAUGGCUGUUGAAAGGAAAACAAACAUCUUCUGAUGGUCACUGCCCUUCAAAAUCUCCAGGUGAGCAGGAGGAUAAAAAACUCAAGGCUUGGACAAAGGAAAGCAAUAACAGGAAAGUUUUUGAGCCCAGCUUUAUGGCUAGAACAUGAUCUUUCUUGGUAAAUGUUCCACGUUCACAAGAAAACAAGAUCAUGAUAUAGAACUCUCAACUACUUCUCCAGUAUCAUGCUUGCCUGCAUGUUACCAGGCUUCCAACCAUGAUAAUGGUACUGAAGAGGCCAGAAGAGGGUGCGGAAGAAGAACUAAUCUUUAUCGGUGGAGCACACAGCAGGAGGACUGCUUGGGAGACAGUACAGAAGGGUGUAACCUGACCACAGACCCCUUGAUGUUCUCUGGCAUGAACCUAAGUUGCUCCCAUGGUUAAAGGGCACCUCAGACAGUUGGGGUUUGGUGACUGCAGAACAAUUCCCUCGGUGUUUAAGGCGUAGGAAACGUUUGCAUUUGAUUGCCUGAGCUCGUAUGCCUCUAUGCUUCAAGGCUGACUCUUCACCAGUCAGGACUCAGGAGCUGAGGAUGUGCGGGGAUACGGAUGCCUUUGGAUCCUGUUGCCUUUGGAGCAUAAUAAAACUUCUCAGGAUGCAUACUCCAGACUUGUCAACCACUGGCGGAAUUUUCUUGCAUGCAUCUUCUGUAAUCCUUGUCCAAACAUUCUGGUUUUCCU